rnacentral:rRNA from 1 species
AUUGAACGCUGGCGGCAUGCUUUACACAUGCAAGUCGAACGGUAACAGGCCUUCGGGUGCUGACGAGUGGCGCACGGGUGCGUAAUGCAUCGGAACGUGCCCAGAGGUGGGGGAUAACGCAGCGAAAGCUGUGCUAAUACCGCAUGUGAUCUGAGGAUGAUAGCGGGGGACCAAGCAGCAAUGUUUGGCCUCGCGCCUCUGGAGCGGCCGAUGUCAGAUUAGGUAGUUGGUGGGGUAAAGGCCUACCAAGCCGACGAUCUGUAGCUGGUCUGAGAGGACGACCGGCCACACUGGGACUGAGACACGGCCCAGACCCCAACGGGAGGCAGCAGUGGGGAAUUUUGGACAAUGGGCGCAAUCCUGCUCCAGCAAUGCCGCGGGCGGGAAGAAGGCCUUCGGGUUGUAAACCGCUUUUGUACGGAACGAAAAGGCUCUGGCUAAUACCUGGGGCUGAUGACGGUACCGUAAGAAUAAGCACCGGCUAACUACGUG